AUUAAAUUCAUUUAGAGCAAAACUUCUUUUCCGAAACUUCAAACUGGCAGAAGAUGAAGAAGUAAGUGAGGGUUGUUCCAAUCACCUAUACGAGAUCAAUUGUUUCAUUGAAACCAAACCAUAUAUAUGAGAAACGAACUUACUUGUGGAAAAAGCUUCCUACUCACAUUGAAGUAACCAUUGGCGCUUAUCUGUGGAAUUGUGUGGGUCAUCUCCGAGAUGAAUGUGUUCAUCUAGGCACAAGAAAAAAAAAAAUCCAUCCAGUGAUUAGUGGUAAGUAUGACAUUUUUUACCUGCUGCUUCUGUAAUCCUUUCAGUGGCUCAUCGCAUUUUAGGCUUAACAACUCUUUCAUUGCAUCUUCAGCCUGUUAUAAAGCAACAAAAUCUGCAUUUCUCGUUGCGAGGCAAAGCAAGUGACUGUUAAAUUAAGUAAAACAAAUAAAGUGAAAGUUAUAUCUGGCAGGGUUACGUGGUUGUCUAGUCCAAACAAGUAAAAGCUUGAAUUGAUUAUAGACACAAAGUAAGACGUGGUGGCAAGAAGCAAGUACCAGCCAAAACUAUCGUUAAUGCCAUCAACUGUAUCAUUGGCGAGCAUAUGUCUUUGUUUGAACAAGAAUAUUAAUUGACUGACGUCUUGUUCUCGGCCAUUCAUUAGCUGAAUUUCAUUGCGCUUCACUUCGAUCUGGAUCGAUACGAAUGCAAGAGAAGAAGCGUAGCAAUGAGUUAAAAACACGACCAAGGCAGUCAGUGGAUAAACGGUUGAUAUAGACGCCAUGAAGCUGAUGAAGAUUCGGUGAGUGGAGGAUGUUCCCUUUGCAAAGUGGUAACCCGUAGAGAUGGAGGCAAGUCCCAAAAUCUAUAUACCAAAUGGAAUAUUACGAACAAAAUAAUGGACGCUACCCCCACUGAAGACAUAUUGCGUAUUCGGAUGUAAUUCUCUUCAAUAAAGACACCCUCUAAACGCUGAAAAAUCUUUCUUAAACGAAUCCAUCUUGUACGGAUGACGGUAAGCAUAAUGAUUUAGAUCCGCCGUAUUGUUCAAGUGUACCCGGCUCCCAUUUGGCGUACAAAUAGCACAAAACGUCGAUAUGUCCAAUUCCGUGGGACGAAAAACAGAGAACGCCGUAAGCUAACAUUACACAUCGGUGGCAUAAACUUGAUGACGUUGACACAUCAGGAAGAGCAACUCCAAGAAAACGGAGCCAAAUGAUCAAAGGACGAAUACUCCAUGCCCAGCAGUUAACUGUGGCCGAUUCUACUUCUAUCUCGCGUGAGGAUGAACUGACUGGGAUAGCCAUUAUGGUCGGACUAACACAAAAAGUAGCAUUCGAUACGUUGAUGAAGUUUG